UACAGGAGGGGCAAGCGUUAUUCAAAAUUAAUGGGCGUAAAGCGUGCGUAGAUGAUUAAUUAGAUUAUAAAUGAAAGACCAAAACUUAAUUUUGGAACUAUUUUUAAAAUCGAUUUUAUUUGAGUGAGGGAGGGGUUAGUAGAAUUCUUAUAGUAAAAGUAAUAUUUGUCGAUAAUAAGAGGAAUACCUUUGGCGAAGGCGACUAUCUGGAACUACACUGACAUUGAGGCACGAAAGCGUGGGGAGCAAACAGG
rnacentral:rRNA from 1 species